ensembl:ncRNA K02F2.7 ncRNA
UUAUCGAAUUUGCAUCGACCGGUUAGUGUGUCCGACCGGGCGGAUGUCCUUCUUUGAA